GCCUCCUGAGGCCAUAGGGGGUACCUCUGGAAGGCGAUGGAUCAUGGGGGCUGAGAGCUGCCUUGCUGUUAGGAGGUGGGGCCUGCCGGUUAGAGGCGGGGGUGGUGGCUGUGACCCGGAAGAUUACAUCUCCCUUCUCAGCUCCUCCCUGCUCUCUGCUGCCACACCGACUCCACGUGGUGAGCAGCCCCCUCCGCCAGGCUCCUCUGCCCUGCCGCCCUGCCUUGGAGCCAGCCGACUAUGGACUGAAACCUCCACAAACUGUGGGCCGGCUACGGUGUCCCAGCUACGAGAAGGGGACUUAGACACUGCCCAUCCACAGGUGCCUGCUGCAAAUGACAGAAAACCCCAAUGUUUGAGUAGCAGCGGCUUACGCAUGUUAAUUUCCCUACCUGCCUGGCCCCUGCCUCGUGGCCCAAAGUGGCUGCUCAUAUCCACACUCAGAAAGCUGAAGGAGGAAGAAACAAAGAAGAGGGCAGCUUCUCUUUCAGCACACACUCCUCACAGUCCUACGUUGGAACCUGCCUACAGUGUGGCAGUGGGAAGUCUGGACUGGGUGCAGCCUGGGAGCCGGCAGUGAAGAGUACAGGAAAGGAACAGGAGAAGACCACGAGGCGUCAGGAGCUCCGGAUAGCUGGCCUGGUGAGGGGCCUGCUCACCCUGUGUUUGGUUCAGUGAACGCUUCUGACCCUUCCUUGGACCGUGUCCCGUGCCAGUCCUGGGCAGAUCCCUGCCCUUCGGGAGUCAGCCAGCUCUAAAUUCUCAAACGCCACAGCUUAACUGGGACAGGUGCCUACAGGACAUGACCCUGGAGCCACACUCCAAAAGCUGAUGCUGUAGAUUGGGGCAGCCCAGAACACUUCAGCCUCCCCGGGUGACGCUGAGGGGUUACUGGGGAGAGACAUCAGCCCUCCUGCAGGACAUGGAAAUGGUGGCGGGGGGGGGGGUGUCAUCCAGGCCUUUGAACUCAAAUCUCAGCUCCACCUUUUGUAGCUGCAACCUCUCAUGAGUUAACCUCUAUUAGUCUUAGUUUCCUUGUCUGUAAAAUAGGGAUAAUCUUACGCUUUUCAUGAGAAAGUGCCAUAAAUGUCAGAGAGCUUAGCAGAGAGGUACCCCAUGAAUGCUAGAUAUUGUUGUUAAAUUAAUUAAAAUUCAUGCGUUCAUUUAAAUUGUUUCUAGGAAGAUGAUUAUAGUAAGGGACCAGAAACGAGGUCCCAGGCACUGCUUCAUGUCCCAGGCACUACCUGACUCCUGGUGAUAGACACCCCGCAGUGGGUUCCAUCAGCAUUGUCCUCAUCUUCUUCAUCCACAUUUGCAGUCUAGGCCUCAGGAGCUCUGCAGCUGUCCCCACCUCACAACCUUAGAAAUAGAAAUGGCAGCUGGGAGCAGUGCCCCACCCUUGUCAAUCCCAGCACUCAGGAGGCUGAGGCAAGAGGAUCACUGAGAGUUUGAGGCCAGCCUGGGCUACAUAGUGAGACUCUGUCUCAAACCACCUCCCCUCCAAAAAGAGAGAAACAAAGAGAAAUCAUGGCUUUCAGACCUUGAAAGUGUGAGCUUAGUGUCCACUCUGCCUGCCUGCCCAGCAGGAAAGAGAUGCUCUCCGCUCCUUCUAGACGGAUGUCCAAGGCAGACAGGCAAGAUGAGGAUGAGGGAAACCCAAAGUCCCUCCUUUCGACUCUCUGCUUCUGGGGGAGCCCAGUCCCAGCCCCCCACCCUGAGGGUCAGGGAGCUGUGGGGGCCCAAGUUUGCCUUGCGGUGAGAAGGAACACACAGGGCCGCUGCUGAUAAUGACAUUUUCAAGUGCUCGUGGAUGGCAUGGUUGCCAUGGUGAUGCUGAUGGCUCUGAGCAAGCUGCGCCUUCUCUGGAGUUGAGUCAGGUUCAGCUGCAUUUUUUACAAAAUAAAACCAACACUCUGAC
ensembl:lncRNA